ACAUAAGAACAGUUGCGGCACUCACGAACAAAGGUAAAGUUGCAAAUUGUGAAGCGUGCACAGCUUACUGCCCUGUGGUUUAAACUCGGUCGAACAUCAGUAGGUGCUAACCUGUUGCUCGCAGCCGCGGCGGCACCGGUGCCUCCUGCUCCGAUGGCAAACUUUGAAAGAAACAGGCCUCGCCCAGCCGCUCCAAUGGCAAACUGGUAGGAUCCCAAACCAAGACCUGGAAGCAUGGAGAAACAGGCCUCGCCCGUCCCGCUCAGAAACGUUUUGAAAAUUGGUUUGCUGUUGUAUAUGGAAGGCGUGAGAUGGACAAACUAUGAUUGGUCGCUUUAUUUUUGGGCAGUGGAGGUGUAAGAUGGAAAGAUCGAAAAGAUUGAUUGGCGUUGUAUAUCUGUUUUCGAUUGCGAUGCGAUUUGAUUCCUGUUGGGUAUGGACAGUAUUAUUUGGAAAGGAUAAUAUUGUUUGGAAAGGAAGCCAUCGGGUAAUAUUUGAUUCCUGAUGUGUAUGGAUAGUAUUAUUUGGAAAGGUUAAUAUUGUUUGGAAAGGAUGCCAUCGGGUAAUAUUUGAUUCCUGAUGUGUAUGGAAAGUAUUAUUUGGAAAGGUUAAUAUUGUUUGGAAAGGAUGCCAUCGGUUAAUAUUGUUUGGCCAUUGUGGGGUUUAUUUGGGGAUUGUCUCGGUUAAUAAAAAAAUCAAAAAA
rnacentral:lncRNA from 1 species